rnacentral:lncRNA from 1 species
CUAAGAGUCUCUUGUCUUUGUAAAAGCUUUCAAUAAAACCAUCCACAGUCCUUCCUCCCUCAUGAAUGGGCUGUAUGACGCACACCGCUGCCUCCUAGCAUGAUGCCUGGAACUGAACUCCUUCAUAUGGAACCAGAGUGAGUCAUGUCUGCAACUCUCAGGCUUCUCUCCAAAGCUACUUUUCCCUGAAGACUUCCUGGAUUCCCAUAAAAUGGGGUUCAGCCGCCCCUAAUGCCCGUGGCCAUUUUGUGGGAGGGAAUCCUGCUUAAAACACUGCUUUGCCCAAGGACUGUGAUUGGACUUGAUCAAGACUCUUGACUGCAGAAGAAGUCUACGAAUACGAUUUAAUUGUAAAUCAUGGCUAAAGAACUUGCCAGCAGACACUUGGCCUGCCAAUGGUAGCACUGGAUGUGCGGUGCUGGCUUGGGACAGGUGAUGAAGGAUGGUGGCUUCCUGGGACCAUGCUGCCCAAGACGGAUGGACCCACGGAAGCAGAUGAUGCCUCUUGAGUUAUUCAGUGAAGUACUUGUAUGCUGUCAUUUAAACCUAUGUUUCAUCAACCAGUACAAGCCAUAUGGCCAAAGCCAGCACCAAUGAUGUAGAAGAGCUCUGCCUACUAUAGUUGGUGUUACUAAAAAGUCACAUGACAAAGUAAGUGGCUAUAUAAUUCUAUGAUUGAGUGGGCAUAAGAAUGGACGACAACAAUUUCUCCUACCACAGUCCAUCUACUCUUUGAUCUAUUUUUUUUACAUGCAAAAUACACUUACUCUUACAGAAGGCAUGCCAAAGUCUCAUCCAUUUAUGACAUCUGGGAUUUCAUUUAUAUUCAUUUUGCAUUUGGUUGCUCUUGACUGAGAGAACAGUGAAUUUAAAGACAAUUAUUUCCCCUUACUCACCUGGCAUGCAGUGAUGGAACAGAGACAGGUUAAUUUACACAAGUAUAUGCAUUCAGAAUGGGGAUGAAGAGAAGGUACAUGACUGUCAUUGAUUCGUAGCAAUACUCAAAUCCUGUGGGCAAUAUUGCCUGGCUUCUUUACCCUGGGAGUAGAGUAUUUGCCUUUAUUAGCCUGCACUUUACUCCCUGGGAAUGGAUUCCCAUUUUGUUGUUCUCUAUGGCUCUUGACUCUACUCUCUGGAAAGUUCUUUCUUGAUCAUCAUGUUCCUUAGCCACUUCUGAAGCAGAAAUGAAGAACAUGCUACCUCAGUCUGCUUCCUGCCAGUAGAACGUUGGAGAAAACAAACUCUUAUAUUUUAAAUGGUUAUAGAAUUAAGCCUGGCUGACAGCGCUUUUGGCAAUUCAUUAACUUCUAAAAAGGACACAGAAUACAGAAACCUACACUUAUCACAAUGUAAUAAUGCUAGUACAUAAUUAAAAUAAAGACUGAAAUGAAAAAGCCUCUAUUGGUUGGAAAUUUAAAAAUUCCCUCUUAAAAGAACGUCUAGCUAUUAUAUGUCAGAACCUAGGGCUUCCAUUAAAGGAGUCACAGUAGAUCCUUUCAUUUGCAUAAAACGGCUCCUAAAGUCUGUGGAUAUUAUCUUUGCUUUUCCCAAAGUACAUAUAAUUAAUUCUGGGGAGAGAAGGAUAUCUGAAAAAGAAAUAUGAGCCUGGCUAACAACACAAUAGGGAUCAAAUAUUUAGAAAACUCAUGAAGUUUUAGAGAGACUUGGAUUAUGGUUAAUGUUCUAUGAACAUUUGUUCCAUGUUUUUUGGUGUAUAAAUAUUAAAAACUGCUGUAUCUUCUGUUCAGAGUGCCUGCCUUAUUCUCAGUGAGUGCUAAUUGCCCCCAAAUCCUAUCUUGUUUAAAACUGUAAAAAUUAAAAUGGUGACCCGCUCCUCUUCUUCCACCUUUUCAUCUUCAUGGUCCUUUGCUUAUUGUUGAAUACGUAUUCCUACUUGGCUCUGCCUUUGGCCACAUUUCCUUCUAUUUGAUGGUGUAGUUUUCUCUUGCCUGGUUUCAUUACAAAUGGAGUGUGAAUUUUUUUUCUCUCUUAUUCUUCCUGUGGCUUUCCAGUGAUUCCCAAGAAGAUAAGAAAAUAUUUUGACUUUACUCUCUUUAAACUGGAAGUUCAACUUUGGAAUUGUAAAGACAGAUGGGCUUUAUGACAACCUUUUGCAAUGUACUGAUGAUAGUUUUGAUUAACUAAGACAAUUUCAAGGGCAGUAUAAUGACCAAUAUUUUGAUCUUACUGAGAAAGAAAGAGGGCAUUAAAAUAAUUAUUUCUGGAUGUGUUGUCUAAAAAACUAUCAGAUAAUCUCAAAAUUGCAUAUGGAAUAUCUCCAAAGAAGUUUUUCUGACAUCCUUAACAAUGCUUCAAAUGUUCAUUCCUCAUGUGAUUUUUAAAAGGCAUUAUAUAAAAGGAAAAUAAUAUAAAUAACACGUGGAAGAAAUUCCAUGCUACUGAAGUAAACUGAAGCCAAUUUAAUGUGAAUGAAUUCUGGUUUGCCUUGUAUAAUCAACCUUAGAUAGAACUUGAAAGUUUUAUACCAGGAAUGUUAAUUUACACCAUGAAUGCUAGUUGAUUAAGUGAGAAGUUUGUGGUAAUUUUUUAUAGAAGUUUGGGUAUUAAAUUUUCAUCAAGAAUUACUUCCUUGAUUAAACUAUUGUUAUUAAGGAGGAAAUAAGAUUGGACCUGAGUCAUUUUGAAUCCAGGCAUGUAACUCUGUAAAAACAUAAACACUUCCUUUAUUUGAUGCUGUUCCAUUAAAAUAAUUUUUGUGCUGGACAAAGAGAAUGAUAUUGAAAGAGUAUUUUAUUUUAUAUAUUUUUAUUUUUUAAAAAAGUUUAUUUAUUUAUUUGAGAGAGAGACAAAGAGAGUGAACAAGUGGAGGGGCAGAGGGAGAGGGAAGCAAACAGACUCCCACUGAGCACAGAGCCUAUGUGGUGCUGGAUCCUAGGACCCUGAGAUCAGGACCUGAGCCAAAAUCAAGAGUCAGAUGCUGAACCGACUGAGCCACCCAGGUACCUCAAUAAUUUUUAUCUUAAAAUAUUUUGAUGCUUACCUAGAGUUUUGGAGUGUAGGUUUUCA